UCCGUAGGUGAACCUGCGGAAGGAUCAUUACUGAUUUGCUUAAUUGCACCACAUGUGUUUUUCUUUGAAACAAACUUGCUUUGGCGGUGGGCCCAGCCUGCCGCCAGAGGUCUAAACUUACAACCAAUUUUUUAUCAACUUGUCACACCAGAUUAUUACUAAUAGUCAAAACUUUCAACAACGGAUCUCUUGGUUCUCGCAUCGAUGAAGAACGCAGCGAAAUGCGAUACGUAAUAUGAAUUGCAGAUAUUCGUGAAUCAUCGAAUCUUUGAACGCACAUUGCGCCCUCUGGUAUUCCGGAGGGCAUGCCUGUUUGAGCGUCGUUUCUCCCUCAAACCGCUGGGUUUGGUGUUGAGCAAUACGACUUGGGUUUGCUUGAAAGACGGUAGUGGUAAGGCGGGAUCGCUUUGACAAUGGCUUAGGUCUAACCAAAAACAUUGCUUGCGGCGGUAACGUCCACCACGUAUAUCUUCAAACUUUGACCUCAAAUCAGGUAGGACUACCCGCUGAACUUAAG
rnacentral:rRNA from 1 species